rfam:Oryza sativa Japonica Group DNA, chromosome 12, cultivar: Nipponbare, complete sequence.
AAUAGAUGACACCGUUGGUUUUUUCUCACAUGUUGGACCAUUCGUCUUAUUCAAAAAAUUUACGUAAUUAUAAUUUAUUCUGUUACGAGUUGUUUUAUCACUCAUAGUACUUUAAGUGUGAUUUAUAUCUUGUACAUUUGCAUAAAAUUUUUAAAUAAGACGAAUGGUCAAACAUGUGAGAAAAAGUCAACGGCGUCAUCUAUU